CCUUCGGUAGCUCAGCUGGAAGAGCGUCAGACUGUAAUUGGAUACCUUCAUUGACAUCUGAAUGUCGCUGGUUCGAUCCCGGCCCGAAGGA